UAGGGAAUCUUCGGCAAUGGGGGCAACCCUGACCGAGCAACGCCGCUUGAGUGAAGAAGGUUUUCGGAUCGUAAAGCUCUGUUGUAAGAGAAGAACGUGUGUGAGAGUGGAAAGUUCACACAGUGACGGUAACUUACCAGAAAGGGACGGCUAACUACGUGCCAGCAGCCGCGGUAAUACGUAGGUCCCGAGCGUUGUCCGGAUUCAUUGGGCGUAAAGCGAGCGCAGGCGGUUUAAUAAGUCUGAAGUUAAAGGCAGUGGCUUAACCAUUGUUCGCUUUGGAAACUGUUAAACUUGAGUGCAGAAGGGGAGAGUGGAAUUCCAUGUGUAGCGGUGAAAUGCGUAGAUAUAUGGAGGAACACCGGUGGCGAAAGCGGCUCUCUGGUCUGUAACUGACGCUGAGGCUCGAAAGCGUGGGGAGCAAACAGG
rnacentral:rRNA from 1 species